CGGGAGCGCAGGGAACGCUGGGAGCCGGGCGGUGACAGUCCCGAGCGUGCGAAAGCCGCGGACUCCGGAGAAAUCCCCCUCCUCCAGGGCUAAAAAGAUGUCCUCUGAUCCAUAUUCAGCCCUAUUAUUGAGGACAACAUCUUGGAGCUUAUGAUUGAGGAACAAGGUAAACUCUACACCCAGCAUGGGCCUUGAACUAACAACCCCAAGAUCAAGAGUCUUACGCUCCACCAACUGAGCCAGCCAAGAGUCCUCAAAAUUCCAAGUUCUUAAUCCAGAUAGUGCUAUGAUGAAGGAAAUGAGACUGGUAGUAUGAAAGCCUCCAUGAAGAGGUUAUUGCUGUGAAACAAACAUGAGCCUGAAGCAGACCAGGAUGUUGAAUGUGGAAAUGAAGGAAAAAUGAAGAGGAAGGAAAAUAAUUAAGAGAAAUUUCAAAGAGAAGGUAUAGACCUUGGUGACCUUGGCUUGGCCUUGGCUAUAGGGAAUUAAGGAGAACCAGGAGGCAAAGAAAAGUCUCAAAUAUCUAACCUGGAAAAGUGCUGAUACAGCAGGAAUUGCUGGCAGAAAAGUGAAAAUAUGGAGAUUAACUUAGAAAAAAAUCAUAAAUAGAGUGUGGCAGCAGACCUAGAUCCCUCCAUCACCAAUGUUGCCUAUAGUCCCUCCUAUCCAACAUGAGUCCAUGUACCACCAUUUCUAAAGCAAACUUCAGGGGCAAGGGACAGUCCCUAAAGGAAGGACUGUAGCUCUGAGAAACCUGCCCACUCACCUAUUUUCAUUUAAGGAACUGAAACAUAAGGCUUGUGAACACCCAGAGAAAUGAAAUCUUAGUACAUGAGAACUCUAAAAGCGAUUCUAAAAUAUUCAUUUUUCAAAAUAUUCAUUCAUUUUUCAAAUGCCUCUCUCUCUGUAAUCUCUGUGUUUAUAUUGUUUGAGCCCUACAGGAUUACAUAUGCUAGUUUUGCAUGUAUCACACUGCCUGUAAGUAUGACACAGCAUACUAACUUGGUUUCUGUAACAGUAGUACUACCCGAUGUUUCACAAACAUGAGGUCCAAUAAUUACUUGCACAGAUUUAGAAUUAGCAUUUUUCAGAACUGGUAAUAAAGCCAUCAUUAAAGUCA